UUCCGGUUGAUCCUGCCGGACCUGACUGCUAUCGGAUUGAUACUAAGCCAUGCUAGUCUUUGUAGUAAUACAAGGCAUACGGCUCAGUAACGCGUAGUCAACCUACCCUAUGGACGGGAAUAAUCUCGGGAAACUGAGCAUAAUACCCGGUAGACCACUUAUCCUGGUAUGGUUAGUGGUUAAAAUGAUUCGUCGCCAUAGGAUGGGACUGCGGCCUAUCAGCUUGUUGGUGAGGUAAUGGCCCACCAAGGCGAUUACAGGUACGGGCUCUGAGAGGAGAAGCCCGGAGAUGGGUACUGAGACAAGGACCCAGGCCCUAUGGGGCGCAGCAGGCGAGAAAACUUUGCAAUGUGCGAAAGCACGACAAGGUUAAUCCGAGUGAUUUCUGCUAAAGGAAUCUUUUGUUAGUUCUAAAAAUACUAGUGAAUAAGGGGUGGGCAAGUUCUGGUGUCAGCCGCCGCGGUAAAACCAGCACCUCAAGUGGUCAGGAGGAUUAUUGGGCCUAAAGCAUCCGUAGCCUGUUCUAUAAGUUUGCGGUUAAAUCUAUACGCUCAACGUAUAGGCUGCUGUAAAUACUGUAGAACUAGGGAGUGGGAGAGGUAGACGGUACUCGGUAGGAAGGGGUAAAAUCCUUUGAUCUAUCGAUGACCACCUGUGGCGAAGGCGGUCUACCAGAACACGUUCGACGGUGAGGGAUGAAAGCUGGGGGAACAAACCGGAUUAGAUACCCGGGUAGUCCCAGCUGUAAACGAUGCAGACUCGAUGAUGCAAUGACAUAGAGCUAUUGCAGUAUCGCAGGAAGCCGUUAAGUCUGCCGCCUGGGAAGUACGUACGCAAGUAUGAAACUUAAAGGAAUUGGCGGGGGGAGCACCACAAGGGGUGAAGCCUGCGGUUCAAUUGUAGUCAACGCCGGA
rnacentral:rRNA from 1 species